UCUUAGUCAUCUACUCCUCUCUAAUCCAGCGAUCAUUAUCCCUUCCCACCUGCUCAUAAAAUACCAAUUAUGAAAACCGUAACCCCAAUCUUGAAAGAGAAGGAAACGACUCCCCUUCAAAAAAAGUCAUCUCUAUCCUGACACAUUUUUCAUUUUUCAAAAGCAGCAGAUGGGCAAAAGCUUUUGAGCUCAAAGUACGGACCCCCCUCCCAUUUCAAAAAAAGAACAAAACAACUCAAAAGAAAAUGGACAAAAACAGAUACAUACAUAGAGGAACGAAAAAGUGACAAAUUUGAGGGGAAUUAAAAGAUUAGACGCCAUUUGCUAUCAACGUGAACUGCUGCUUUUCUUGUUCUUCGAUUCAGCUAAAUUGAGUCCGUUCGCGGCUCGAUUCACGGUUCCGUCGAGGUUGGCUGUCUCUUAGCUUUUCUUUUUCUUCCUAUAAAGUGCUUCAUCGAUGCUUGUUUUAUAUUGCAGCACUUUGGUUCGUAUAAAUGAAAGAUUUGUUGAUUAAUUUGGGUGUAGCAGCUUUACUUUAUAUUUCACUCUUCUUCUACUUUCGAUUCUGACGAUGUUAAUUGAUUUGUCAUAAUCUCGUCCAAGCAUGCCAGAUUUGCUCUGUAUUUCUUAUUCAAGCCUCGGGUCUUAUCUAUUAUUGUAACGACCUAAUUGGUUGUUUUGCUUUUUAGAACCCCGUUCCAAUAGAUAAGACUUCCCGUACUUGCUUUUACUUAUUUAUGACUUGCAGGAAUGGUUGGUUCGGGAUUUGGAAGAGUUUGGAUUGAAAUCAAACAUUUGGUUCCUUAAGGUUGGCUAAAAAGGUCAAGUUUGACUUCGGUCAACGUUUUGAGUAAACGACCUCGGAAUUCGAAUUUUAAGGUUCCAACAGGUUCAUAUGAUGAUUUCGAACUUGAGCGUAUGUCCGAAUCGGGUUUUGGAUGACCCGGGAGCGUUUUGGUGCCUAAUAGUGAAAGUUGAUUCCUUAUUUUGAAGUUCUUAAAUAUUUGGUUUGAAGUGGAUUUUUGUGUUAUUAAGGUCCAAACGGAGUUCCGAGACCGGGAAUAGUUCUGUAUUGCCAUUUAAGACUUGCACACAAAAUUUGGUAUAAAUCCAAGUAGUGUAAGUGUGUUUCGUCGCAUUGGAGGUAAAUUGAAGAAUUUAAAGUUCACAAGUUUGAUCCACUUGGUUUUAGGGGGUGAUUCUUAGAUUUAGCAUUGUUUUGGGCGUUCCGAGGGUUCGCGCAAGUCCGUUAUAUGAUUUCAAACUUGUCGGUAUGUUCGGGCAGGACCUGGGGACCCCGAGUGUCAAUCAGACGAGGCUCGAUGAAGUUGUAAAAUUUUGAAAGGAGCUGAAACUCCAGGUAUCUGUCAUAACUGCACCUGCGGUUGGUCAGCUGCAGGUGCGAGACCGCAGAAGCGGUCGAGCCCUCGCAGGUGCGGCCAAGGGGGAGGAGCCCAGGAACCGCAAAUGCGGCUCCUUUUCCGCAGAAACGGACCUGCAGGAGCGGCCCCAGACCGCAGAAGCGGUCCCAGCCAGCCCAGCCCAGCUCCACAGAUGCGGACAUUCACCCGCAGAAGCGAGUUGCCCCGAACCGCAGGUGCGAAAAUCGUUGAAGGCAGUGCCUUCAUUUAAUACGGGAAUGUGCCAUUUUUUUACACAUUUCCUUCAUUGUUUGGGCGAUUUGGGAGCUUCCAAAGAGGGAAUUUCAAUCUAUCAUUGUGAGGUAAGUUAUUUCUACUUAAUGUGAGUUUAAUACUUGGGUUUUGGGUAGAUUAACACAUAAAGAUUAGUGAAAAUCAUGGGAUUAGAGUAAAACCUAGGGUUUUGAUAAAAACAAGAUUUAACCACGAACUUUAUUAUGCAAUGAAACAGAAAUCAUAUAUUCUUGAUCCUUAGGUUAUGAGUAACAACUUCCCUCAAAAAAAAAAAUUGGAAUCCGGGUACGUGGACCCGGGGAUGGAUUUUAGGAAACUUGUAUUUAGGGUUGGGGAAUUACUUUAAUAGUUGGAAUAUGAACUCUUGAGCUUGUAUUGACUAGUUCUUACCCCGUUUAAUUAGUUAUGGAUCGUUCGGCUGCGGAGUUAAGGGUUUGAGCACAUUCUUGAUAUUGGAAGUAAGCUUUGGAGCGAGGUGAGUCUCCUUUCUAACCUCGUAAGAGGGAAAUAAACCCCUAAGUGAAUCUAAUAAAUGUAUGAGAUUGUUUGUGGCGGCUACGUACGUACGUGAUGACGAGAGUCUGUGCGUAGCUACUAUUAUGCUAAUUGUACGAGUAGUUUCGGACCCGUAUUAUGCCAUACUUGCAAAUGCUUAUAUUCUUUCAUGCUAAUGAGAUCACUUAGGACAUGUUAGGGAUUGAAAAUAAACAUAAACGAACGUAUGCACUUACUUGAGAACUUGUGUGAACUUAUUUGAAUAUGAUUGCGCCUUUAUGUGCCUUCUUGAUAAUAAUUGAUUAUUGUGGAUCGGGCCGAUUGCCUCGGUAGAAAUAGAUGCAUCUAUGGUUCGCGCCAUUCGACCCUCUGGCAGUGCAUAAUUUCUUUUAUGUUGGACCGGGCUGUAUGACUUCGGCAUAAUGUGCGUAUGAUAUUUAUGUGAAAUCUUAUCCAUGACUUACUCUGUUAAAUGCCUUGAAGUGCAAUUAUUCUAAGACAUGGCCGAAAGUGAUAUACUGUACUCUUUAAAUUCUGAGCUUGCCAUUAUGUUCAUGUUAUCCAUACUUAGUGUAAUAUUUAAUUAUUAUUGGCAUUGACCUUAGUAAGUGUCAAGUCGACCUCUCGUCACUACUUCUUCGAGGUUAGACUGGAUACUUGCUGGGUACAUGUUGUUUAUGUACUCAUACUACGCUUCUGUACUUAAUUGUACAGGAUCUGAGGCAGGUACAUCUGGCUACCCAUCUGGUGUGCAUCCUUGAUAGUAGGCCGAGAUUCCACGAUGAGCUGCUCCCUUCCUAUGCCGUCCAGCAGCAUGAUGGAGUCUCUCUUUGUUUUGACUGUCUAUUCUAUUUCAGACAGUAGGACAGAUUUAUUCUUUUGUAUAUUUUACUAGAUGCCCAUAUACUUGUUACACCAGGUCUUGACACACACAUUGGUAGACUAUUCUUUUGGGUUGUAUAUCUAUUACUUUAAGUUUUUAAUUAUCACUUGUUUUAAAUUCAAGUUAAGAAAAUGCUGGAGUUGUUUUGGUAAAGUAAAAUGAGAACACACUAAUAUCUUCGAGUUGGCUUACCUGACAAUGAUGUUGGGCAUCAUCAUAACCUAUAAUAAAAUUGGGUC
rnacentral:lncRNA from 1 species